rnacentral:rRNA from 1 species
UGGGGAAUCUUGGUCAAUGGGCGGGAGCCUGAACCAGCCAAGCCGCGUGAGGGAGGAAGGCCCUAUGGGUCGUAAACCUCUUUUGUCAGGGAACAAAAGCGAGUAUGUAUACUAGUCUGAGUGUACCUGAAGAAAAAGCAUCGGCUAACUCCGUGCCAGCAGCCGCGGUAAUACGGAGGAUGCGAGCGUUAUCCGGAUUUAUUGGGUUUAAAGGGUGCGUAGGCGGCGGUGCAAGUCAGCGGUAAAAGCCCGGGGCUCAACCCCGGCGAGCCGUUGAAACUGCAGUGCUAGAGAAGGCGAGAGGUACGCGGAAUGCGCAGUGUAGCGGUGAAAUGCUUAGAUAUUGCGCAGAACUCCGAUUGCGAAGGCAGCGUACUGGCGCCUGACUGACGCUGAGGCACGAAAGCGUGGGGAUCGAACAGGAUUAGAUACC